CACAUUGGAAGCAAAAGCUCCAAACCCAAUUAAGCUUUAAGUGAGCAUGGCCUCUGCUGACAUCGGACUGAUCCGAAUGAGAAAUUGCGAGCCCAAACUACCCAAUGAAGCUGCUCCAAAAUUCUUGACCCAUGAGGUGAAGAAACGGAAGCCGAACCAUACUGUAAGAAAAUCCACUCCAUCGCCAAUUAGGCCGUCCAAGGUUUUCAAGAGAAAAUAGCCACAUGAAUUCAAAGCACAGUAUCACUAUUCCAGAAAUCUUUGGGACAUUCUGCACAAAAGGUCUACAAAGAGCUUUGGAAAGAUUAACCAGAUGAUCCUCCCAGCUUCCUUAAGAGACAGGUGGGGAGUGGACAGUUCAGCCUACUCCCACAAAGAGAGAGCCACGGACAGCCUGUUGCUGAGCCGCAGCGACCUGGGUUCCUGGCAGACGGACGGAUGCGCUCCGUGAGAUGAGCCAGGGAGCAGCGAUCAGCACCGCACGCGCUUGCCUCUCCCACCCUUUCUAAAUUGACUCACCCACCGCUCACUCAGCAGAUAGCUAUUAAAGAAUGCCUCCCUCUCUGUGAGAGUCAGGGCUUGUAGCUUGACUGUGGCCUCUCACUUCAGAGGUGCACCUUGCCGUCUGCCCUGGGGGCCUCUGGUGACUCAUUUCCUGCUCCCAGGCUUGCUCUAGCACACAGAGCGAGGACCCCGGGGUCCUGUGUUUCAUGCUCUGCUUCUCAGCCCCUACUGGUCCCGACCUCUCCCUGGCUUCCAGGGCUCCAGCCCCUCCUGUACCCCUCCUGGGUACAUUCCUCUCUGCUCUUCCCAUCCCGGUCCUGGGCAGCAUUUGAUGAGGCUAGAGUAAUAAUAGUAGAUGUCAUUUGCUCAACCUCAGGAUGAACCCACUGUGCUUACAGAACUUGCACCAUCAUCCUGGCCCCAGAACCUUCGUUUCUGCUGGGACCCUCCCUUGGAAUGCUGUUCCAUUCUGCAGCUCUCCAAACAGUAUUCGCUGUUCAGUAACCACCACACCCAGGAAAUCUUCCCCACGUUUCCCCUCUUCUUUACCCUCAGCACUCAGGAAACUUCACAGUACAUACCUCUUGCCAGGACAGAUGCCCUUGCCCUCCACAGAGGAGAAGGCAGGCAAUAAGUUGGCAAACAUAGAAAAAAAAGACAAAAUACAGAGCACCGUGAAGCGUAGGGGCCAAGGUCAGGCUGCCCCAAGAUGGACUACUUUGUCAUGAAGAUUAUUUGAAGUUAAAAAGCAAUCAAAACCCAGUAGAUUCAGGACCCUCCCCUACAGCUACCUAAAAAGAAUUUAGAGGACUCACUCCAGGAAGAGAGCUAUCUCCGCAGAUAACGACUUUAUACUAUGAACUACAUACAGUGAACAGGGAGGAAUCCAGCAAGGCCUGUUUGACCAAAGUCCUCUUUGUCCCGUUGUUUCUUAGUGGCCCAGGAAACGUUUGUUGACCAAACAUUUGCUCUUUUUCAUCUCCCUGUGAAUUGCGUUCCUUCCCUUUGAACCCCUCUAGCCCCUUCUCCUUGUUCAGGAUGACGUAGAUACCUCAUUUUUCCUUGACUCUUUGGAAUCCCCAUGUCUGUGUGGAUUCCCUGUACAUACAAAAUUAAAUUUUCUUUUCUCCUGUUAA